rnacentral:rRNA from 1 species
CCUACGGGAGGCAGCAGUGGGGAAUAGUGGGCAAUGGAGGAAACUCUGACCCAGCGACGCCGCGUGCGGGAUGAAGGCCUUCGGGUUGUAAACCGCUUUCAGUAGGGAAGAAGCGAAAGUGACGGUACCUACAGAAGAAGCACCGGCUAACUAUGUGCCAGCAGCCGCGGUAAUACAUAGGGUGCAAGCGUUGUCCGGAAUUAUUGGGCGUAAAGAGCUCGUAGGUGGUUCGUCACGUCGGAUGUGAAAAUCUGGGGCUCAACCCCAGACCUGCAUUCGAUACGGGCGAUCUAGAGUGUGGUAGGGGAGACUGGAAUUCCUGGUGUAGCGGUGGAAUGCGCAGAUAUCAGGAGGAACACCAAUGGCGAAGGCAGGUCUCUGGGCCAUUACUGACACUGAGGAGCGAAAGCGUGGGGAGCGAACAGGAUUAGAUACCCUGGUAGUCCACGCCGUAAACGGUGGGCACUAGUUGUGGGAACCUUCCACGGUUUCUGCGACGCAGCUAACGCAUUAAGUGCCCCGCCUGGGGAGUACGAUCGCAAGAUUAAAACUCAAAGGAAUUGACGG